CCCCAGCGCGGCGCAGGGCGAGGCGGGGAGCCGUCCGGGCGGGCCAGGCGGGCCGAGGGGGAGCCGCGGGCGGCCCUUCUUGGUGGGCCCCUGAAGGGCCCCGCUCGGCCCCGCCCGGCGCUCGGCUCUCCCGCGGGCCUCGGACCGGGCGGGGGGCGGCAGUUUGGACGGCGCCGGCGGGCUUUGGCCCCGGCAGGCCCGCUCGGGGCCCCGGUCGGAGAACUCGGGUGGCCCCCGCGGCCCUGAGUCGCUCCGAGCCGCCGCCCGGCCAGCCUGCCCUGCUGCUCUUCCCGCCGAAGAGGGGCUCCGGGUUGCCUUAGUGUGAGGCAACACCCGACGGCGGUGAACCUCACCCGCGUUCUGCGUCCUCCGGGGCUGGAGCGAGGGCGCCGGGCGGGAGCCUGGACGGGGGGGGGGCGGAGCGGCCGAGGGCCAGGAAAAGAAGAGCCGGGCUGCCUCCCGAGGGGCAGGAGAGUCUUUAAAGCUGGCGGGUUCGGGGUCCCCCGAAUAUUUGAGGAGACGGAAGUGGCCGCUGAAACCUCACCUGGUCUAGAAGACGAGUUUCAACUUCUUUCGUACAUCACAGCGACCAAAACUGGAUGAAGUAAUUCCACGUGUGGCCUCACCCACAGCUUUGUAAAGCGGUACUAGGACUUCAGGUGAUCUCUGCUGGGUGCUGGGCUGGAUCUAAGCGUAGCUGGUGCUGCCACUUGGCUCAGGACUGACGUGGGGCUUCCUUAUCAGAGCUCUGCAGAGCCUCCUUCCCUUUCCACGAAAAACAAAUUCUCGGCCUAAAAAAGGACCCCGUCUUUUUACGGAUGCGAUUAAGGAGAGAAGAGCUGCGGUUGAAGGAGAUCCAUACCUGCAUUGUUUGAAUUUCUUCCUACUUCCAGCUCCGAGGUCUCCGUGCCCGCCUGGGGUGGGUGCCUGGCACUGGCCUCAGUUGCUGUCUGGGCCCUAACCUCUUCCUUUCCCCCCCCCUCCACGAUUGGGCAAUUUCCUCUUUAUCUUCACGGCUUGUUGACUUUAUGGCUCGCCCUUUUAUCAGGGUGUGUAUUUUACGAGGCAUGCCAAAAGUAAAGUGUGCAGAAA